CACCCUCACUCCUCAUCCACUCCAAAAUUCAACGCAGCAUGCCGGGCCCCAGGCAGGGAAGGGCCCCCUGUCCAGUGGACACGUGACCCACGUGACCUGACCUAUCAUUGGAGAAGACUCACAUUCUUUACCCUGCCCCUUUUGCUUUGUAUCCAAUAAAUAACAGCGAAGCCAGACAUUAGGGGCCACUACCGGUCUCCGCGCAUUGGUGGUAGUGGUCCCCGGGGCCCAGCUGCCUUUUAUCUC